CUAGGGAUUGGUUCUUUCAUGGUGGAUUCGACCUUGGGGACUACUUAAGAAUACAAGGUGAGUUUGUUUUUGGAUAUUUUAAGUUAAUAACAUUGUAUUAACACUAGUAUUAACAUCCUUCAAUCUUUGAAAUCCCUAGAAAUCUUUAAGUUAUUCAAGAACACAAAAUUUUCCAAACAUUGGAAUUUCAAGGAAAAGCUUCAAGAAGGUAAUACUAAUACUUCAAGCUCAUUUCUUAUGAGUCGGUGAGAGUAAUUCUAAUAGUUGUUUCAAGUUGUUAUGGUUGGAUAAUUGAUUUCAUAAACUCUAGUUCAUGGCAUGAAUAGUGUUCUUGAGAAAAUGAGGGAAAGAUAAAUAGUGUUCUUAGAAAUAAAAUUAAAGGAUGCAAUGAACCUAUGGAAUCAUAUUCUAGCUUAGUAGGAAGUAUUCAACUAAGUAAUCACCAAAUUGAAUGUUUUGGAAAUAUUGGUUAAGGAAGAUGAUGAAUAGUAAUUUGGCAGUGUUGGAGAAUUAAUGUAGUAUCAUUGAUGACUUCAAAUGGGUAUUGAAUGAUAAGAGUGGAGUUGAAUGUGCUAGUAAGUGAACCUAUUAGACGAUUUGAGCUGGAGGCUUGUAGCCAACUUGAGAGCCAUAAAUGGAUAUUGAUAAAUAUUCUUGAGUCAUAUUUUGAUUGUAAUUGGGAUUGUAAUUGUAGAUAUCAAUUUAUUGGUGGCGUAUGAGUAUUUUACUCAAUGUUACGAUGUCGGAGGAGGAUUAAAAGCUUGUGAAUGUUAAUAAAGCGAAAGCGAGUUUUGGAGCGUUGGGCAUCGGUCGAGUUAUUUGAAAGGCUUGGGAGCCGGC
rnacentral:lncRNA from 1 species